GAUGAACGCUAGCGGCAGGCUUAACACAUGCAAGUCGAGGGGUAUAGUUCUUUGGAACUAGAGACCGGCGCACGGGUGCGUAACGCGUAUGCAAUCUACCUUUCACAGAGGGAUAGCCCAGAGAAAUUUGGAUUAAUACCUCAUAGUAUUAUAGAGUGGCAUCACUUUAUAAUUAAAGUCACAACGGUGAAAGAUGAGCAUGCGUCCCAUUAGCUAGUUGGUAAGGUAACGGCUUACCAAGGCGACGAUGGGUAGGGGUCCUGAGAGGGAGAUCCCCCACACUGGUACUGAGACACGGACCAGACUCCUACGGGAGGCAGCAGUGAGGAAUAUUGGACAAUGGGCGCAAGCCUGAUCCAGCCAUGCCGCGUGCAGGAAGAAGCAUCUAUGGUGUGUAAACUGCUUUUAUACAGGAAGAAACAUCUCUACGUGUAGAGACUUGACGGUACUGUAAGAAUAAGGACCGGCUAACUCCGUGCCAGCAGCCGCGGUAAUACGGAGGGUCCAAGCGUUAUCCGGAAUCAUUGGGUUUAAAGGGUCCGUAGGCGGUUUAAUAAGUCAGUGGUGAAAUCUGGUCGCUCAACGAUCAAACGGCCAUUGAUACUGUUAGACUUGAAUUAUUAGGAAGUAACUAGAAUAUGUAGUGUAGCGGUGAAAUGCUUAGAUAUUACAUGGAAUACCAAUUGCGAAGGCAGGUUACUACUAAUUGAUUGACGCCGAUGGACGAAAGCGUGGGGAGCGAACAGGAUUAGAUACCCUGGUAGUCCACGCCGUAAACGAUGGAUACUAGCUGUUGGGCGCAAGUUCAGUGGCUAAGCGAAAGUGAUAAGUAUCCCACCUGGGGAGUACGUUCGCAAGAAUG
rnacentral:rRNA from 1 species